AGAUUUGAAGGGAGCAGGAUCCAGAUUGACUUGCGAGGCCAAGAGGACGCCGCCAGGAGGCCCACUUUAGCUUGGGUUCUGCAUUUCUAACAUUUGGGCUUCCGGAAAAUGGCCUGGGGUCCCGGUUCGGGCAGGUUUCCAGCGUCAGGACUCAGGAGCUGUGCUGUCGGGGAAGCCGGGGUUGUCCUAGGGCGGUCGCCGGCAGGCUCUCCGCGAUGCGCUUGGCCUUAGGUGCACGGAGGUGUCUCACCUCACGGGUGGCUGGAUGCCUGGCCCGCUGGCGGGUAAGGAGCUCCGGGGCCGGGACGGAACCCCCUUACCCAGUACUGGACUUCCCUCUCGCGCCCUGGGCGAACGAGACUGAGAUGCGAUGUGCGCCCAGCAGCCGCCCCGGGCUGUUGUCGUGACCUGGAGGACGCGCGUCCCCUACCCCCGCCUCCGAGGGGGCCGCAGCACGCUUCUAGGUGGGUGUGGGGGGCGCCUGAUGUCUCCUUUCUGUUUUACAGCUACUCCCCUGCAGGCGCCUCCCUCCUCUUCUCGGGCACGAACUUGCCGUCAGCAACCGUUCGUAGGAGGGCGUGCGGGUGGAAAGGACACAUUCCGGAAUCAGAAGACAGGGAGCGAAGAAGCGGGAGCCCCGGUGGAAGAUUCCGAAGAUUGUCCUGUGAAGUGUGAUGGGACAGCCUCUUUUCAGCUUCUCCGAAAAUGGAGACAGAGAGGAAAACUGCGGGUCUUGCCAAGGGCACGGGAUCAGAAUCCAGAGCCACGCCACUCCAGGACACUAGAGAUCAUCACAUCAAGCAGAAGUCGAAGCUGCAGGAGCCGCUGUCCUGAGGCUGCAGCGGGCAGGGGCCAGGAUGGAGGAGGCGGCCCUGGGCAAAGGGGCAGGCUCUACCCCUACCCAUGCCCACCUAGGACUUGGCAAAGGACCUGGGGACACGCGCCCUGACCGUCCAUCCUGCAGGGAGGGGCCUCUGCCUUUGGCCAGUGGGCCCCCGUUUCUGCCCUUGUCACACCACGUGCCUGUUUCGGGUCUGCGGUACUCUGACCAGGCCUCCAGCAGACAGAAGCUCUUUGCUCUCCGUACGUCCGCCCCAGAGGACCGAGGGCAGCAGUCUGCGAGGUGGCCAAAGCAAGGGGCUCCAGCCUUCUAGGAGUUAACGACUCCCUCUCCCCAGCUGUCCUCCCCUUGGUGCUCCUCUUCCUCCCUCCUCCCGCUCACAGCAGGCAGGGCCUGGACCUGGGAGCCAGUGCCGCUGUGCUGUUGCCAGGGGAGCUGGGAGGCGGACCUGAGCUAUGCAGGGAAAAGGCCCGGCCUGUCAAAGUGUCUGAGAUGAACCGCCGCCGUCCCCGUGCAGCUGGGCUCAGACGUGUCUCAGCUCUUGUUCUGUGCCUGAGAAUGGCGAAGCCCAGUGAGGUUCAAGGGCACACUCACUAUUCAUUAGUCAGGGGUUCUUGACGUCCCGUCUCUCCCAGGGAUGAGAUCCCCCCGCCCUUCCUCUUUCUCUCCCUCUUGCGACACAUUCCUGGGUGCCUUUGGCAAGGACUGCACCCUCCUCUUCCUCCUGCCCAACCCCUUCUCCGCAGGCCCCUAAACAGACUCCCCCCAAGGAGACCUGGCAGGGCAGAGACAAUGGCCACAGGAAACCAUUCAGGCGGGACUCUAGCCAUGCUUGUCCGCCCUCUGCUCCCAGCACCCUUGUGGCCCCCACUCCCCUCUGACUCAGGGUCCCCCUGGGCCACUGGCAUGCACAAGCCCAGACAGGAGGAAGCCACUGGGCACUGCCCUUGGGACAACAGGCCUGUUCUCAGCGGGCCCCCGGAUCUCACACAGCUGGCUAUUUUGGGGCCUUUCUCUAUCAUCAUGUGUCUAUUUGAAGACACUGUCAAACACUGUUGGCUGGAAAAUGUAAAUUGUACAGUAUUUUCUGAAAUGUGGCAUUAUCACAAUGUAAAAGACAUAUAUAUACUCAGCCACAAGCAAAUUGCACCGCUAGGAAUUCACUCUACGGUUAUAUAUGCAAAAAUUUCCCAAGAAGUCUGUACAAGGAUGUUCGUCAGAGCGUUUCUCUUUGAGAGUAUAAGACAAUGGAAAUGAACCUAUGGGCCGUUCAUACUGUGGAAUAUUAGACAGUCGAAAAAAUCACUGUGGCACAGCUCUCUGUAUAAACUGAUCCAGGAGGUUGGCCAGCGUGUUUGUUGCCUGAGGAGAAUAAACUGCAGAACAGGCAAUAGAGCUCGAUCUUACUUGUGUGUAUUGAAGUCAGUCCUAUAUGCUUCUAUAUGAAGAGUUUCUGGAACUCUGUAUUGGAAGCCUGUCUCUGGGGAUGGACGGAUGUCCUUUUCUCUACUGUUCUAUUUCCUUUCCAUGCACCUGGAAUACUGGUAUUGAAAAUUUUAAAGAGGCCGUUGAAUAUAAUAGGCUUAACUUCUGUUAACCCACAUUAGGGUAAGAGCUCUAAGCGGAUGCUGGUGAUGUUGCAGCAAAAAACAUCCCGGAGACUCUGCCAUUGGCCAUUUGCAGGCCUAAUAAUCUCCCAUCAUCAUCAUCAUGGCUGCUGUUGUUAAUUAAAGGCCUACUAAGUGCCGGGCUUAGUAUCUCUGGGUCUUGCUUAGGUGGGUAUCA